rnacentral:rRNA from 1 species
CUUGCCAGUGUAUUCACUCCGACAUCACAUUUCAAAUAUAUAGUCAUAAAUACUGGUCGCCCACUGAAGCUAAGCAGGGCUGAGUCUGGUCAGUACUUGGAUGGGAGACCUCCUGGGAAAACUAGGUUGCUGCUGGAA